rnacentral:misc_RNA from 1 species
GCAUCAAUGCCCUCGGAGCAAGGGAUAGUUCAUUACUAUUAUUAUUAUCGCAAAUAUUUAGUUAAAUUGACAAAAAAAGAGGGGGAAAAAAAGGACCAAUUCUAAAAAAGAGUGCAAGAUGAAGCCAGAUCAUCAACUAAAUAAGGAUAAACUAUUCAAUCAUUAUUAGAAAAACCAAGGAUUAAUAGAAAGUAUAGUUUCAUUGUAGAAGGAAUAUUAUAGAACACUGCCAAGGCUUCGUGGAUUUGUGCUAUUUUAUAAAAUGAGCUUUAAAUUUAAACAAAGUGGAGCAAAGUCAUGCGGAAUACAAGAUUGUAAUUUUUGGCUUGUCUGGAGGCUUUGACAACAUACUUCAAUUGUAAUCCAAUCCACUCAUAAAAUUAUUAAAAAAUAUAUCAAAUUUAUCACCAAAAAAAAAAAAAUCUUUGUUUCUAAUACUAAUAUAUUGUAUAUAUAGAGCAACUUUUAGGAACAAUCUAUGAGUAUUUGGAACUGAAAAGAAUCACAAUUUCUAUGGACUUUCUUAGAUUCAAAAAUUAAAUUAUUGAUGAGUCUAUGAAUGCCCCCCCCACUCACAAGUUCAAAUGAAUUGAGUAUUCACCCAGCUCUAAGCACUGCUUGUUUAUCGAAAGAGUUCUGUAAGUAAAUAUGGGUCUCACUCCACUUAUUAAGGCUAAUUAGGAAAUCUCAAACAAAGCCCUUGUUAAGCUGAACUCCAAAUAGCUCACAAUCGAUUUCUCCCAUUUGCAGCCUUAGAACCCACCAGUGACGAAUGGAAAAGGGCAUGAGAUAUCUUGGAGGCAUAAUAACAAAAUGUCCAAUUGAUGCACCAACAAAAUAUUCCCAUUCAAUUAGUUCACAGAACCACUUUGUAUAAAUCUUCCAUCAUUUUCAGCAGAAGUAGAAGAAAACUUGAGCACUUGCAUUUUCCCCCUUUUUAUUCGGAAACCUACCAUCUACAUCUCUGCCCCAAAAAUCCAUAUCCACUCGUGCCCUUUUGCUUCCAAACUUUUCACUACAGUUACAGGAGUAUCCAGAAUUGAUUAUAAACCUUGCCAAUGCACUCUGCUGCCAGCUUGCAGCUUAUUCAUCUUGUCACAAACCCAAGAAAACUUUCAUGCAGCAGUUUAUUAGGGACAUUUUAAAGAUGAGAGGAACAACCCAACUCCUCUGGAUAUCUCAAGCCACAAUCAAACAAAAUAGCUUGAUCAUCAUAAAGCACAUUUUGCUAACAUGCAAAAUCAAUAACUAAUCAGAAGAGAUAAAUCUAGCAGGUACUCAAGCUUUACACAUAAAAGCAUUCUAAAGCACAACAAAUGCAACGGACAUUGCAUUAUCUUCCAAGAUCACACUUUAAAACUUUUUGAAUACAAGAAAUAGGUUAAAUAUAUCAGACUGUUGAUGCAAGAACACGUUUAACAUUUUCAUAAAAUAUGACAAAUCACUAACAUUUUCAUAAAAAUAUGACAAAUCGCUAAUCUUUGGCUGCCCAACAUAAAUAGAGAAGUAAUAUUUAAAAUUAAAAACUGAAUUUAAUCAUACUGAUUUAUGUAAUUUCAGUACAUUGAGUUUUCUUUUUCCUCAGUUCUCCCACAGAAGCAUAUGUUUCAUGUGUUAAUUAUACACAAAUCUCAAGUCGCUUCCUUUUGCCCGCUGACAGCGUGUUUCAUAUAUAACAUAGACAUGAGAUACCUUAACUCAUUCUUUCAGGUUGUACAAAUGGUCAGAACAUCAUUUUCUCAAGGCUAAAUCUGCCUGUUCAAGUCCCACCAACCCAAACAAAUGCAGAAACUAAAAGAGAAGGAGGUUUAACUAACCAAAUAAUUAUCAAUAUGUAGUUAUGCCCAUUGAUAAGCCUGCCAAACUACACGAGUACUAGGUUGAAUAGGCCAUAGGUCAGUCUCACUUCAAUAGAAGUUGUAGAACUUCCAAAUGGUUAAAAAUUUUUGCAUCACAGUGAUUUCAGCCAAAAGUGGGCAGUUGUGGCUUGAAUAUAUCAAGGAAUAAGAAGAAAAAUUAAAUACCCUUAAAUAUCGGUAGCACCCCAUUAAAUGUAGAGAACAUUAAAAUGCAUGACCAAAACUAAAAUUAAUAGAUGCAACUAAAAAUGAUAAUAUAUACACAUAUUGAAGAAGGAAUAAAAUCACAUACCUUUGACAUCAAUUGAUGGCAAAUUUACAAAGAGAGGAACAAAACUCUAAAGAAUGGCCAGAAAUGGAAACUCAGAAUACUUCCUAAUUCAAUGAUCCACGACACUUUCUUGAACCACAAUUGCAUGGUAUCUUUUUCUCCUCCAAAGGAAAUUUGUAGUUGUAAGUGAUUUCUUCCCCAGCAGCUAUAUGUCGUUUCGCAUAAAUGAAAAUUUUUUUCUGACCUUCAACGCUUAUGACCUUGGUAUAGCAGUUAGGCUCACAAGAGUGGUUUAUGAAUCUUGCAAUUCCCCCAUGCUUCGUAGCAUCAACCACAUAACCAUCAUCAAGUCUAAAAAGAUAACUGCUGCCAAUUCCCAUUUUCUCAUAAAGACGCUCUCGUAUAUCAGAUAUUCGAGGACGAAUUAGUUCACCAACAUAUUCAAUUACAAAGUCCUCAGCCUCAAUUGGCUCCAAUGCAACAAGACCCCAGUCAUGAAUUUUGCUUCGUUGGAAACGUAGACGCUUUUUUCUUGCCUUCAAUUGUGUAGCUUUUAAAAGGUCAGCACCUUCAGCUGCAGCAAGAAGAUUCCGCAACUUCACCCUGUUUGUUCUAGCAGAAAGAACCUUACCAUUAGACAACUGAGAAGUAUAAGCCUCAGAACUCGAAUAGUUGGCAUGAAUACAGUGAAUUCCCCUAACACGUGCUCUUUCAGCAGGACUUGCAUUACGCGACCAGGCGUGCCAUUCCCAACCAUUAAUUGAAGAACGUGCACAUCCAUCAGACCUAGGGCAGGGAUUUGAUGUUCUAGAUUUAGAGGACUUUGUCUUUCGCACUGUAACCAGUCUAGUUGCUACUUGCUUGGAAGCAGUAUUGGCCACUUUCAUAAUCUUUGUAGGAUGUUGCGAUGACCCACCACCCACUGAAUGCUUCCUUUUCAGCUUUGCUACCUUAGCAUUUAGAUUCUUUUUGGAAUAAUCAUGAGCUGGUGCUUCCUCAAUUCCAACAUCAUGGCCACUGCUAUCGAUAACCUUGUUCACAUUAGCACAAUCCUCACUCAAGUUUGAAACACUCUUCCUACUAUGCUUUACAUGUUCUGCGACCUUAUUAUUAGGUCUCGGAACUGUUCGCUUAAUCUUUAUUACUUUUGGAUGAGUAGCAUUUUUGGCCAAUGAUUGAUAACUUGGUGAAUUGCUUUUAACUUCAGUUUUUAGAGGCCUAGCAUUAACAGAUAAUUCAGUCUGGCCCUUGGUUACUUUCCUCUUCUUCAGAGUUGCAACAACAGGUUUGACCACUACACUCUCAGAAACAUCUCUGACAAUGUGCUGCUUUCUUGACUUCUCCACAGGCUGAUGCUGUAACCCUGUGUCAACAGGAGUCACAGACAGAGAAGAUGAACCCAACUUCUUCCGCACCAACUUUUUCUUGCGGUAGUAUGUGUUCGCCAUAGAGUCUGAAUUAUUAAAUUUCCCUUCCACAUAAGAGUCAGGUUCAAGGUGUCUUCUUGAAGUACGAUGAAUUCCAAGAAAUUGAUGAAGGAUACCAUCAAUAACCACCGAUAUCCCCCCCCUUAGUACAUCAUCAUGUAACUUCUGCCUGCACAUUGCCAUCGCAACAUACUCUCUGAUCUUAGGAAUGGACUCAUCUGAUCUUGAUGGUUGGAAUUUACAUGUAGGUGGAGGGACAAUAAUUCUAGCAUUAUCUUCAAAUCCCGGUGGUGGAGGUUCAUCAAUAUUUUGGUCAUCCAUUGUAUCAUCAACGUAUGCCCCUGAUUUUUCAAAAGCUCUUGCCAGAAAAUUUGACAAAAGAUUCUCAGAUGAACAGGAACCAAAGGGUUUUCCAGCCUGUAUAGAAUCACUGUAUGUCUCAACAGACAAUUUAUUGGAUUCAAUCCUUGGUUCAUCAUGCAAUUGUGACGAACUAUAUUCAGUUGUCUGACAACAUUGAAUGGAAGAUUCAACAGUCUUAUUCAAUUUGCCAUCCUCUGAUAACUCAACUACCUUCCUCACUUCCUCUUUGACAAGAAUUUCAACAUAUUCAACCAAAGACACCUUUGUAGACAUGUGUAGCUCAUUUUCUACACAUUCUAAGAUGCGUUUGAUGCCAUUAUAUGCACAACUGCAUGAUAGGCUCUUCAGUUUAGAUGACUUCUCCCCCCCAGGCACAAAUGAAGAAAUGCUAGGUGAUUGAGAUUGACUAUCAUUUUUAACCAUCACAAGAUCAAAACCAGGAGGACAAUCAAAUUUGCAAUCAGAGGACUUCUGCUCGGGUAGGAAAAGUUCACUUGGUAAUUUUUCAGUCUCCUUGACAUAAUCUCUAACACUAGCAGGAAUUCUAAUCUUUUGAUCAGCAAACCAUAGUUUUCUUUUCCGCCAGGAAGUAGAAUACUCUGUAAUGGCAUCAUAAAAGACUGCAUUCCACAUGACUUCCAUGCAAUAAUCAAAAAGAAUUCUACAAACAACUGCGCAAGACCCCAAGAUAUUAUCAAUGCUUCCAACAGAUUUUUUGCUUCUGUGGAACUGCACAGGCAUCUGAUCAACAUGUGCCUGAUCAGAUCUAAGGUUGCAAGUUGAAGCUUCACACUCAGGAGCAGCAACAUUCCUUCUCUCAACAGGAGCUUCACACGUUCUUUCAUCUGUAGAAAAAGUUUUGACAGCUUGGUAGUUGAGCAUAGAAUUUCUAUGAGCUUUCUUCAUAUUAGAGAACUCUGAGAUAACAUUGCUGAUUAUCUCAUCUAAUGCAACUCUACGAGCUGCUUUCAUUAUUCCAGAAUGCAGUUGACAAGAAACUUCUUCAGAAAUUUCAGAAAUGAAGCUGAGUAGUGAGCCACUCUCGGUUUUGGCAUCAGACACAAAGACAGAUUCCAGUUUAUCCCUUCUCCAAGCAUUGAUAACAGAUAGCAGGGGGAAGGGUCUAAACUUAUUUUCAUUAUGAUAAAUCAUUAAUGAGUCCCAGAGAUAUCCAUAGUGAUGCCAGGAAUAAAGUUCCAGUAGAGAAUGUGGUCCAUGUUUCCUCCCCUCAUCAUCCUCAAACAUCCAACAAGAAUCUUCCCCUGACAGUAGUGAGAAUGGUGUGUCAUGGUUAGCUGCAUUGGAAUUUGUGAUAGGCUGAUUGGAGCAACAAGUAUUGUAAUGCACUUGUGAAUGGGAUACCAACCGUGCAUCUGGACAAGGAGAAACUUGAGCAGCAUGCAGAACAAGGCCUUCUUGCCUAUGUACAGCUGAAUUCACAUUGAAAGAGGCAAAACAAUUUGUAGGCAUGGAUGUUCCUGAGAUACACAUGCUCAGAUAUGCAAAACCAGUGGCAACAUGGUCAGGGAACUGCUUGAAGUACUUCAAAGGUACAGGAUUCAGUAAUGUCCCAAUUACAAUGGGAUAAACAGGAAGAUCCUCAGGCAGGAAACCAGUAGAUAAACCCUCGUAUAACUGUUGCUGAAUAUAAGGACCACACAUCUGUCCAUUUUCAUUGAUAUACAUCCAUCCACUCACAAAAGUAGGUCCAGAGUAAUUCUUGUCCUGGGAAGAUGAACCCAUUCCCCCACCAUUAUUAGACUGUGGAAAAUCACCACUAUUGCCGUUCAACUGGCAACUCAUCUCCAACACAGAAUUAGAACAAAUCUUUUCAUCCAAACUGCGGCUAGAUGAUGAAGCAUGACUGGCAAAGCACCCAUGAGAUGAGCAUUCCAUGGUAUUCAACUGGAAUGUUGUGGCCAUAUGCAAAUCAAGUUCUUGAUGUUCAAAAUCUGAAACUUUCAACCUCUUCCUAGAGAAGAAGGAAUUAUCAAAUUCCUGAUCAAGUGCUGCGGAAGAAACCAUGGUCUGAAUAAACUCCCCUUUGGAAGGCAACCUCCCGGCGAUGUAUGAGUGCGACGGCGGUCCCGGCUAAGAGCGCGGAGGACAGGAAGGCGUCUCCAUCUUACUAGCGUGCAAAGCCAGAGGCUUGAAAACCACGGACAUUUGCUUGUUUCGAUCUAGCUCCCUCCGAU